rnacentral:lncRNA from 1 species
UUGCAGAGCUCGCAGGAUCCGUUUUUGUCUCGUGCUCCAGAAGUUCUUGACAUCAUUAUCAGUGCGACCUGGUAGGCAGCUGGCAAUCUUGGCCCACUUGUUGCCCAGCUUAGCUUGCAUUUCCACCACCAGCUUCUCCUCUUCAGGUGAAAAUUUGCACCCACUCCUAUUUGAUUCCCCAACCGUUUUAGUACUAUGGACGAGUGGAUCGUUAUGGCACUUUAUAACUGACGCAACAGGUUCUCUUUACUGCUUAUCUACUCUCCAAAAUAAGUUUUAGCAAACUCCUACGGCUGCAUGAAUUGAUAUCUUUUUGGAAACGGUAUUCCAAAGACUCUUGCUGGCGUUACUGCUUAACGUUACACUCGUUCCAUUGAGAUUUUGUUUUGAAAGGCCCUGCUUACACUUAAAAGUCACAUUUUUGUCUAAUUCUGAAGCAGGUGUGCCCAAUUCGACCAGCCUGCCAGAACGCAGCAGGAGUUGGACAUGGUUCAUAUUAACAGUUACCAAUUCAACACCUCAAAACGCUGCACAUGAAGAUCCUUCGCAUGAACCAUUCCAGGAAUGAUGCAGCUCUGGAGCUCAUCCUCAGUCCUGAAUCUAAUAGCCGUGACCUAAAACCAAUGAAAUUAAAAAUAAAAUGAAAACAAAGACUGCCCUCCGGAGUGUCUAUUCUCAAAGGAAAGCUCUGCAAAUAUGGGCUCAUCACUGUUAAGAGCAAUCUGAGAGUAUCUCAACUCUGUGGACACUUCAAUGAUUUACCUUU